CGGCAGCGGAGGGUGUCCUGCUCCUGCAUCAACACACUGUUUCUUCCACCUCCAGGGAGAGCUGGCCCCCGUCCGAGUCUGCGGGUCCUGUUACGUUUGGUCACUGCCAGCCUCCAGGGCCCUGGCAUGUGAUGCCAGGUGGACAGAACAGAUGUGGUCCCCGCCCUCGAGAAGCUCAGGGGAAGGGAGACCCACAUCCGGCACGCGGCAGUGGAAGGUGCUGUUGGCAGAUGGGGGCUCAGGGCUCCGUGAGACCCACGGCAGAGGAAGUAACAGGUUAGCCGCGAGGCAAAUGAACACUGAAUGGAGUGUAUUGGGUUAAAAGCAACUGAUCUCCCCUCCCGGCCAAAACCUGCCAGGGGUGUGAAGCAAUGGGAUUUACCGGUACUCAUCUCAGAGCGUUCAACAAGACGUCCCUUCUCAGUACGGAACAUCCCUACAGUCAAGAGAGGACCUUGAAUUCCUUGGAAGAACGACGGAGCUGUAUUUAAAAUUUAUUUCUGGAUAUUUACUUAAGGAUAAUUGCAAAGAAGAUUGGCCCAAAGAAAAUGUGAGCAUUUGUCAGAGGGCAGUAUUGUACUUUUUUCCCUGCUUAUAUGUCUGUCCCUAAGUCCCUACUUCUGGCCUCAAGGCCGUGUGACAUCGAAGCCACAGACUGGAAGGCUGGGGCUCCAGAGACAUAGCUUCAAAGGCUUCCUCUGCCUUCAUCCCGCGGAGGUGACUCGCAGCGACCCCCUAACCUCGCUGGGCCAGGCGCCUCGCUUGUCAAAGAACCGGGCUGGUGACUGGGGGGGGGGGGGGUGUCCUUGUCCGCAGCCUGUGGUCCUGAGCUUCCUGCUACAGUGACCCACGAGAGCCCAGCACAGCGUUGGCACAAGCCUGAGCAUGUGCUAUUGGCGAAAAGAAAAUCACAUUUCUGGUCUGUGACCCGGGGGCUUUGCUUCUGAAGGUGUGGAGCUGCCUUGGGACAGCGGGGGGACCCCGGCAGGAAGCUGUGUCCUAACAGGAGCGUUGGAAGGCACAGGGUCCUUCAGCAAAGAACCAUCGGCUGAGAACAAAGUCUUGUUUUAUGGCCUGUAAUCGAUCUUUCAACAGGUUCCCGGGGCCGCGGGGGUCCAGCCGCCUCUCUGGUCUGUGGCUGAAAGGAAGGGGCCCUGCUCUGUCCGGGGAGCCGGGGAUGUCGCACCAGGGAGUCACCUUCCAGCCUGAGUCUUCCAGAAGAUCAGAGGUGCCGAGAGCAGAGGGCCCGACUCGGCAGCCACGGCAGAGCAGAAGGAGCUCCUGGUUAGAUGCGAACAGGCCUGGGACCCGUCUAAUUCUGCCACUCGCUCUGUGUGACGUCAGGCCAAUGAGGCCACCUCUCUGGGCCUUCUGCUUGCUCGUCUGUGAUGUGAACAGUGUUUACUGAGUGGUUUCUAACCUUGCUCCCAGCACACAUGCAUUGAUUCUUUAGCUUCAGAGACAUGGGAUGUGACGUGUGGAAAGCAGACUGGAAACUGGGAUUUAGACUGAAACCUUCAGGCGCUGCGCUGGGAUCUAGUGGAUGGGACAGCUCCCACCCUCGCCGCCAUCCCUCGACCCGGCCCAGCUGGGGCCUCGCUCCGUGGUAUCGUGCGGACCCAAAGGGAACAGCCGGGCUCCCAGGAGAGGUACGUGUCCUGUGCACAGCUGCACACAGUGUAGCAUCUCAAAAGAAGCACAUCAAAUCUAUUCAUACGGAUUACAUUAGCAAAUUAGAAUUCUUGAAAGUUGCAAUCAACAUCAAAAGCAAAAUGUCUUAAUUGUUCCAUUUAAAUCAUAAAAUGCUAUUUUUAGAACGUGCAAAAGCACCUGUUGUAAUAGUUAAACCCUUGAUCCAUUGUUACUCAGAGCCUUGUUUGUAUUAAUUAGGAA